rnacentral:rRNA from 1 species
AUUGAACGCUGGCGGCAGGCUUAACACAUGCAAGUCGAGCGGGGGAAGGUAGCUUGCUACUGGACCUAGCGGCGGACGGGUGAGUAAUGCUUAGGAAUCUGCCUAUUAGUGGGGGACAACAUCUCGAAAGGGAUGCUAAUACCGCAUACGUCCUACGGGAGAAAGCAGGGGAUCUUCGGACCUUGCGCUAAUAGAUGAGCCGAAGUCGGAUUAGAUAGUUGGUGGGGGAAAGGCCUAACAAGGCGACGAUCUGUAGCGGGUCUGAGAGGAUGAUCCGCCACACUGGGACUGAGACACGGCCCAGACUCCUACGGGAGGCAGCAGUGGGGAAUAUUGGACAAUGGGGGGAACCCUGAUCCAGCCAUGCCGCGUGUGUGAAGAAGGCCUUAUGGUUGUAAAGCACUUUAAGCGAGGAGGAGGCUACUUUAGUUAAUACCUAGAGAUAGUGGACGUUACUCGCAGAAUAAGCACCGGCUAACUCUGUGCCAGCAGCCGCCGUAA